rnacentral:rRNA from 1 species
UACGGAGGAUGCGAGCGUUAUCCGGAUUUAUUGGGUUUAAAGGGUGCGUAGGCGGAUCGUUAAGUCAGUGGUCAAAUUGAGGGGCUCAACCCCUUCCCGCCAUUGAAACUGGCGAUCUUGAGUGGAAGAGAAGUAUGCGGAAUGCGUGGUGUAGCGGUGAAGUGCAUAGAUAUCACGCAGAACCCCGAUUGCGAAGGCAGCAUGCCGGCUUCCGACUGACGCUGAAGCACGAAAGCGUGGGGAUCGAACAGG